rnacentral:lncRNA from 1 species
UCACAUCUUAGCAGAAUUAAAAAGAUUAGAUUGCAAAGUCGAUGCAUUGGCCAUUUGGCUAUGUUAGUUGAUUACUUGUGAUAACUUUCUACAGUGAGCUGUGUUUAUUGUUACAUUGUCUGGCAACAUAAUAUAUUAAUGCCUCUUUUCUAAUUAACAAAAUAUAGUUUCUUAUAGUGAUUUUCCAAGACCAAUCAAGAAAUCUAUUCCAGUUACUCUGUUGCUCUCUUCAAACAAACCAUUCUGCCAUGGCAAGUUCUUCUUCAUGCGGUUAAGUGGAAGAGAUAAAGUCAGCCAAAAGGGUGUGUAGAAUCUUGAAGCCACAUUAAUCAGCAAAAAAGUGGCUAUUAGUAAGGUGUAUGUCUAUUCAAGUGGUUCAUGGGUUGUAUAUUGGUAUCAGCAAGGCAAAUCUUCCUACAAUAAGGCUUUUGGUACGAUCUUAAUUGGUUAGCACACAAGUUAAAGGCGCAUAAGACCAAAUAAUGUGGUUAAGAGCAAUUGCAGAAGUCAUUACCACAAGCAGACUACAUUCUAUAUCAGGUUAAACCUUUACCACCAGACUUUUAGCGGCCUUGUUCCUCUUAACAAUAUCAUCAAGAGACAUAUUCAAAGAGUCCGCCAUCUUCAGCUAUUAAAUCUGGAAAAUACAAUCAAAAUUAACAAAUCAAACACUAAAUUCAUCGGACAGAUAUAUAAAAUUCAAGCCUCAUAUAUACAAAUCAAAAUCUGACGGAAACUCAUCUCAACGAGCUAGAUCUACAUAGUCUAGUAAUCUAAACCCAAAACAGACAUAGAUUCUCAAUCGAAAAAUGAAAACGACUUGAAUUCAGUCAGACGAAUGAACGGAUAUGAAUCAGAUGAACAAUUAGCAAAAGAAGAAUCGGAAAUUUGGGAAUUCAAAGCUCGUACAAAUCAAUCGGGGAAUUAGGGAUUUAUAGUUUUUGAGAAUUUGGGAAAAAAGCAUGUGGUUAUCGGCUCAAGGGAGAAAGAUAUUUAAAAAUUAAAAUAGGUCGUGGUCA